CGCCCGUCACACCAUGGGAGUUGGUAAUACCCGAAGAUGGUUAGUUAACCUCGGAGGCAACUAUCUAAGGUAGGACUGAUGACUGGGGUGAAGUCGUAACAAGGUAUCCCUACGAGAACGUGGGGAUGGAUCACCUCCUUUCUACGGAGUACACAUACAUCUUAUUAAAUUUGGUUAUUUAAAAAUCCUUUUAUAAUAAAUAAAAAGGUUAUUAUGGGCUUGCCAAAUAGUUUUGUAUCUAGUUUUGAAAGAUUUAAUUUUUUCUUUCUAAUUAAUAAAUGUUUUAAUAUAGUUCUUUGAAAACUGAAUAGCAAAUAUUGAAAUUUUAAUUUCAUAAUAUUUCAACAACGACAUUACAACACCGAGUCUAACUGUUUUAUUGAACAGUUAGCUUAAAAUAGAUACCUUAGAUAUAUAAAUCUAAAACAAUAGGCUUAAAAAAUAAGUUAUAUUAGCUUUUAAAUAAGUAAGAGUAUAUAGUGGAUGCCUUGGGUCUGGAAGUCGAUGAAGGACGUGAUUACCUGCGAUAAGCCUCGUGGAGCUGGAAUACGCUAUGAUACGGGGAUUUCCGAAUGGGGGAACCUAACUAGAUAAACUCUAGUUGAUUUAUAAUGAAUACAUAGUUAUAAAUGCGAGACACCUUGUGAAUUGAAACAUCUUAGUAGCAAGAGGAAAAGAAAAUAAAUAAUGAUUUCGUUAGUAGUGGCGAGCGAAUGCGAAAGAGCCCAAACCAUCAUUUUGAUGGGGUUGUAGGACAUUCUACAUAAAGUUACAAAAUUUUAUUAUAGUUGAAAAAGUUGGAAAGCUUUAACAUAGAAGGUGAUAUUCCUGUAAACGAAAUAAUAAAAUCUUUUGAAUGUAUCCUGAGUAGGGCGGGGCACGUGAAACCCUGUCUGAAUCUGCCGGGACCACCCGGUAAGGCUAAAUACUAACCAGACACCGAUAGUGAAACA
rnacentral:sRNA from 2 species